AACGAACGCUGGCGGCAGGCCUAACACAUGCAAGUCGAGCGAGGACUUCGGUCCUAGCGGCGGACGGGUGAGUAACGCGUGGGAACGUGCCCUUUGCUUCGGAAUAGCCCUGGGAAACUGGGAGUAAUACCGGAUGAGCCCUUUGGGGGAAAGAUUUAUCGGCGAAGGAUCGGCCCGCGUUGGAUUAGGUAGUUGGUGGGGUAAUGGCCUACCAAGCCGACGAUCCAUAGCUGGUUUGAGAGGAUGAUCAGCCACACUGGGACUGAGACACGGCCCAGACUCCUACGGGAGGCAGCAGUGGGGAAUCUUAGACAAUGGGGGGAACCCUGAUCUAGCCAUGCCGCGUGAGCGAUGAAGGCCUUAGGGUUGUAAAGCUCUUUCAGCUGGGAAGAUAAUGACGGUACCAGCAGAAGAAGCCCCGGCUAACUCCGUG
rnacentral:rRNA from 1 species